GAGAGAGACAUGCGCGCAUAUCAAUAAGCGGAGGAAAAGAAACUAACUAGGAUUCCCUCAGUAACGGCGAGUGAAGCGGGAAGAGCUCAAAUUUGAAAUCUUCAAGGUUCUACCUUGACGAAUUGUAGUUUAAAGAAGUGUUUUCUGUUGGAGUUUUGGUAAAAGUUCUUUGGAAUAGGACAUCAUAGAGGGUGAGAAUCCCGUAUUUGACCAUUAUUUCCAGCUUUGUGAUACACUUUCAAAGAGUCGGAUUGUUUGGGAAUGCAGUCCAAAAUGGGUGGUAAAUUUCAUCUAAAGCUAAAUACUUGGCGAGAGACCGAUAGCGAACAAGUACCGUGAGGGAAAGAUGAAAAGAACUUUGAAAAGAGAGUUAAACAGUACGUGAAAUUGUCAAAAGGGAAGCGUUUGACACCAGUGUUGUUUUUCUGAAAAUCAAUUAAAGAACUGUUUAUGCUAAGCUGUUUAGACUUUAUCAGCUAUCUGUUUAGUUUUGAGCUUUUCUUUAAUGCACUUUUCAGUUAACAAGUCAACAUCAAUUUCUUUUGCUGUAAAAAAGCUUGAGGAAGGUGGCUUGAGAUUCGUCUUAAGUGUUUAUAGCCUCUUGCCUAUGCAGUCGGAGAGAUUGAGGUCUGCAGCGUAGAUCCUUCGGGGUUAGAUACAUUUGUGCUAAGUUAUAGCUUUUCAUAGACAACUUGUUGACUAUGAUUCAGUCUUGUAGCUUACUCGCUUAUGCUAUUUUACCUACGCUUAGGAUGUUGAUGUGAUACUGCGAGCA
rnacentral:rRNA from 1 species